rnacentral:rRNA from 1 species
GCCGCGGUAAUACGUAGGGUCCAAGCGUUGUCCGGAUUUAUUGGGCGUAAAGAGCUCGUAGGCGGCUCAGUAAGUCGGAUGUGAAAACUCGGGGCUCAACCCCGGAAUUGCAUUCGAUACUGGCGUGCUCGAGUGCGGGAGAGGGAAGCGGAAUUCCUGGUGUAGAGGUGAAAUUCGUAGAUAUCAGGAGGAACACCAGUGGCGAAAGCGGCUUCCUGGCCCGAUACUGACGCUCAUGUACGAAAGCGUGGGGAGCAAACAG